AGAAAAUCUCCCCGUUGGAGAAUAUUGUCGAACACCUGGCGUGUGUCAGAGGCCAGUCUAAGGAAAGAAAGAAAAGAAACUAAAACUAAACUAAAACUAGAGAUGUCCCUGCUACUCUACGUUAUCCCUAUUUAAGCAACAAGAGGAAGAUGACUAAAGGCUAUCUAGGUGGUCCCCACACAUGUGGACAAAGCCCUCCAAGUACUUCUUGUUCCAAGUCUCCUUCCCGUAGCUUUCUUUUAAGAGCCCAAAUGACUAGAUGCUUUCCACUAGCUUGUGGUCCCCCACCAAUUCAAGGGCCCAAGAAUUGAAGCCCUUAGAAGUCUCCCUAUUCCCAUAAAAGUCCCUCCUUUUUGGUAAUUUUCUGCUUUGUUCCUGAAAUUAAACUCCAAUACCAAAUAUAAGUAAAUAUUAAUAAUUAAAACAAUAUUUGGCAAGAAUAAAAGGGGAAAUUAAUAAUAAAAUUACUAACAAUUAACACCCUAUCAAUUCCCCCCACACCUAAAUCAUGCUUGCCCUCAAGCAUGGGAACAACAAUUGAACACCAAAAUUUGACCAUGGCUGUUACUCCAACUACCGUAUUGCCAAGACACCAAGAAAAUCAUAUAUCAAGCGACACAGGUCAAGAUCCAAGAAAAAUCACCCCGCUUAGCAUCUAAACUACCAACUCCUCCAAUUUAAAGCAAACUAAUCUAAGGAAAAGGAAUGGUUGCUCACAUUUAUCAGUAAAUGGUCCAGCUAUUAACCAAAAUCUCGACAUUAAGAUCACAAACCGGCAAGCUGAAUUAUUCACAUACUAACACAAUCUUUAUUUUAUUUUUUUCCUUUUCGUUUUGUUUUUGUUUCUUUUCCUUUUUUUUUUCUUUUUGAAUAACAAAAGACUCAGUCUAUAACCCUUAGAACCUUUUGACGCGAACUCCAACAUUUGAUAGAUGGAGAAGCCCGGUUACUCAGCUCCAAUUGCUACGAGACCACGCACUCAUAAUAACUACUACCUUUUGACGCGAGAAUCGACACUUUAGGUGAAGAUUUCCGGUUACUCAGUAGUAACUACUAGCGGAGUACAGUCAAUUCUUAUUUAUAUCCAUAUAGCACGAUAUCUAAAAAUAACACAAAAAUAACAGCAGCAAGCCUCAAAUUUCCAGACAUGGAGAACUAAAAUUAAUAAUUGGACCAAUUCACACGAAUAAUGCCAACAAUCAUUCCCUAUGCCUAGAAAAGUUAACCAAAAAUAGGAAAAGUUAAGCAAUCAUUGAUAUUCACCAAAGAGAUAUUCCUGAACUCAACCACACCAACUUGAUACCCUUUUAUUAUAUAAAAACUUGGCAAUAGCAGAAUUAGAGGCAACAAUCCAACAUCAAAACUUGGUAUUCAUAUGAAGACUGACCACUAGAAAAAGAAAAGAAAAUAAACGAAAAAGAGAUGCAUAUCAAACUUAAAACAAAGGAAAAACACCUAAAAAUCGAAAAUUGGAAAUACUAGCACCCAAACUGAUCCCCCCACACCUAAAUCACACAUUGCCCUCAAUGUGAUAAAUAAAUAGUAAUAGCAAGGCGAAGGGCAACGGGACUUCCCUGAAGUCGUCAAAAUAGGGGCGGAUCGGGCGAGAACUGAGGAGCAAGACCUGCAUGGUGCAUAAAUGCUGCCAAAUUCUGCGCCAUGUGAGGUUCUAGGUGUCCAGACCUAGAAGAUGACCAUGGCCUCACCAUUGGUUCUAAAGAUCACUCCACUUGACAAGAGACAACAAUGGCCAACAAAUAAUGGAAACAGGAAAUUCAAAGCAAUAAGAAUUGAAAAGCCAACCCAACGAAUAAAAUGCACAAUUCAACCACCCAGAGGUCAUACAAAUACCCCCAACACUUAUAGCAAAUGCAAUCAAUAAGUACUUAUGGACCCCAUGUAGUCAAAUUCAGAAUUAAGGUCGUCCAAAGUGCAACAACUGCUCCAAAUACCCCAAGCAAGUCAAUUAAAGGCAACCGACUUCAACAAGCAAAUGCAAACUGCACAUUCAUGCCCCAAUUCAACAAAUAAACGCAGAAAAGUAGCCACAAUACUAGAGCACAGCUCCCAAUAAUGCAACAGAAUAGCAACUCGAACAAACUAGGAACUGUGCUAGUGUCUUAAUAAAUCAACAACUUUCAGCAAUUAGACACAAUCGGACCCAAUAUCGUAACAACUGUCUCCAAUUGGACAGUCAAUUACCCACUUCAACCUGCUAAAAUUAGCAAUUGACCCAAGAAAAUGGCAACUCCAGCAACAACAGUUCAGAAGUUGGACAGAAACAACUCAACCACAAAUGCCCAAUAGUCGAUUAGGCAACCAAUAACACAGGAGUAACAAAUAUUAUGUAAACUACCCUCACCAGUACCACUGGUGCAUGCAUAAGGAAAAUUGAAAUCAAAUGGCCAACCCAAGACAUGUGAUAACGCCAAACACACCACUCAGUACCACUGAAUGGCAGAGGGUAACACGGGACCCAAUUGACACGUAACUCCCAAAUUACCCCCAACAAUUUCCAAACAAAUAAACUGGCACGAAAGCCAUCAAAUUUAUCCCCCAGAUGCAACAGAAAUCUCAAGUAGUCAAAACCCAAUAAGCACAGGUAUCUCCCAAUUCAAAAGGGUAAUGCACAAUAAAUGGCCCACCAAAUUAGCAAUGUAAAGUCCUGAGCAAUUUACGCCCAACAAUUCAAUCAAUACCAAAAAAACUGCCCCAAACAAUGUAACAGUUACACUCCACGGGCAAGGGAUGUCCAACCAAUUUCACUCGAGCAAACUAUAAGCAGUGCUAGUGUCUAAACAAAUCAGCAAAUUUCAGCAAUUAGACACAAUUCCACCCAAAAUCUCAACAAAUGUCCCCAAUCGGACAGUCAAUUACAUAUGUCAACCCACUAAAAUGCCAAUGACCACAGAAAUUGGCAACUCCAGCAAACUGUCCAAUGUGAAUAUAGCAAUUUGAACCACUCGGCAAACUGUCCCCAAUAAUUCAAUUUAGUUCACCCACAAUCGAUAAGUAAUGAAAAUGGUAACCACACAAAUUAUGCCCCACAGAUGAUGGCAAUUAAAACAAUUAGAGAGCAGCAAAGUAGACUUCGGUGAAUUGCAAGGGUUACCCAUGCAAGCGAGAUAGUAAAAUCGAUAUUAAGGGUUGGGAAGACUAAAUACCGACACCUGGACGCCUACAAGAAGCGAUGGCGCAGCGAAGGAGAGGCGGCGACCUUGGGGUUGCGCGAGGUGGGUGGUGCUUGAUGGUAGCAGCGGCGCAUGAGUGGAGCUAAGUGGAGAGGCUGAGGAUGGCAGUCUCGCGGCUGUGGGCUCGCGAGGUGGGGCGGACAACAGCGAAAGGUGGCUGAGCGGCGAAGUGGAGAUGAGCUCGUCGUGGGCUGGACGAGCGCCGCUGCGGGAGAGGAAGAAGGAGCGCUGGCGGCGUUGGACAUGGCAAGGCAGAGGAGAGAGGGAGAGCUGGUGAAGGUUGAGCGAGCUGGUGGAGGCGCGCGGCAGGGAGAUGGGGGACAGCAGCGACGGCGGCGGAGCGAGACGUGCGGCAAUAGAGGAAGAGCCGGGUGCUGCUGCAGAGGUGGGAGCGAACUGGAGGGAGGCGCAGCGUCUGAGAAAGCGGCGGCGCAAUGGUCGCGCUUGGGCGUGCGGCUGUGCGAGAUUGUGGCAGGGAGAGAGAGCAGAGGAAGCAGGGGCGGCGGCGUUGACCAGGGAGGUGGG
rnacentral:lncRNA from 1 species